rnacentral:lncRNA from 1 species
UGCACAUAAGUUAAUCAUCAUGGGUGGUGCGUGCAGUUCUGCACUACCCACGGUGCACAAAAACUUCUUUUUUCACUCUAAGACUUGCUGACAACCAAACCUGGUAAAUGUAAAAUGGCCCAUUGGCCAGGUCCUCUGGGUCCAAACCAGUCAAGGACCCAAGGUCCUUGACAAGCCUCAUAACUAAACCGAAGGCCAAACCAGCAAUUAUAAGAGAGGCCCAGGCC